ACGAACGCUGGCGGCGUGCUUAACACAUGCAAGUCGCACGGAAAGGCCCUGCUUUUGUGGGGUGCUCGAGUGGCGAACGGGUGAGUAACACGUGAGUAACCUGCCCUUGACUUUGGGAUAACUUCAGGAAACUGGGGCUAAUACCGGAUAGGAGCUCCUGCUGCAUGGUGGGGGUUGGAAAGUUUCGGCGGUUGGGGAUGGACUCGCGGCUUAUCAGCUUGUUGGUGGGGUAGUGGCUUACCAAGGCUUUGACGGGUAGCCGGCCUGAGAGGGUGACCGGUCACAUUGGGACUGAGAUACGGCCCAGACUCCUACGGGAGGCAGCAGUGGGGAAUAUUGCACAAUGGGCGGAAGCCUGAUGCAGCAACGCCGCGUGCGGGAUGACGGCCUUCGGGUUGUAAACCGCUUUCGCCUGUGACGAAGCGUGAGUGACGGUAAUGGGUAAAGAAGCACCGGCUAACUACGUG
rnacentral:rRNA from 1 species